rnacentral:rRNA from 1 species
AUCCUGGCUCAGGAUGAACGCUAGCUACAGGCUUAACACAUGCAAGUCGAGGGGAAACGACAUCAAGAGCUUGCUUUUGAUGGGCGUCGACCGGCGCACGGGUGAGUAACGCGUAUCCAACCUGCCCACCACUUGGGGAUAACCUUGCGAAAGUAAGACUAAUACCCAAUGAUAUCUCUAGAAGACAUCUGAAAGAGAUUAAAGAUUUAUCGGUGAUGGAUGGGGAUGCGUCUGAUUAGCUUGUUGACGGGGUAACGGCCCACCAAGGCGACGAUCAGUAGGGGUUCUGAGAGGAAGGUCCCCCACAUUGGAACUGAGACACGGUCCAAACUCCUACGGGAGGCAGCAGUGAGGAAUAUUGGUCAAUGGGCGAGAGCCUGAACCAGCCAAGUAGCGUGCAGGAUGACGGCCCUAUGGGUUGUAAACUGCUUUUAUAAGGGAAUAAAGUGAGAGUCGUGACUCUUUUUGCAUGUACCUUAUGAAUAAGGACCGGCUAAUUCCGUG